GUUCCCUAAUGGCUGCUCUCUGUACAGUAGAGAGAUUAUCUGUACGGGCUAUGGAAUAGCAUGGACGUCCCUCCAGAGGUCCCGCCGGAUAUCUUGGUUGGGGAGAGGAAUAAAAGUUAGGCCUCUCUCCAACACUUCCACCUGUGCCUCGGAAAGCUGAAAAGUCCACCUCUUCGCCGCCCCCUGCCCGGACUCCCCCGCAUGCC